GAUGAAGAACGUAGCGAAAUGCGAUAAGUAGUGUGAAUUGCAGAAGUACCGUGAAUCAUCGAAUCUUUGAACGCAAAUUGCACUCUCUGGUAUUCCGGGGAGUAUGCCUGUUUGAGGGUCGCUUAACAAACCAUCGAUUUCGUUGCUUUUUUUUUUAAAAAGUGAUGUUUAUCGGAUUUGAGCCGUCUUUCUUUUUUUUAUUUAAGUGGCUUAAAAUUGAUUUUUUUGGUACGAUCGAAGCGUAUUUUUAUGAUCAAUUUUUGGUUAAAGAAACGCACACGUACCGUUAUUUAUAUGAUGUAAUACGUUUGACUAUUGGAUUUAGUUCAUUCGUAUACGAUAUUUUUCAAUAUUUGACCUCAAAUCAGGUAAGAACACCCGCUGAACUUAAGCAUAUCAAUAAGCGGAGGA
rnacentral:misc_RNA from 1 species